GUGGCCCUACGGGGCGCAGCAGUAGGGAAUCUUCCACAAUGGGCGAAAGCCUGAUGGAGCAACGCCGCGUGGGUGAAGAAGGUUUUCGGACCGUAAAACCCUGUUGUUAGAGAAGAAAGUGCGUGAGAGUAACUGUUCAUGUUUCGACGGUAUCUAACCAGAAAGCCACGGCUAACUACGUGCCAGCAGCCGCGGUAAUACGUAGGUGGCAAGCGUUAUCCGGACUUAUUGGGCGUAAAGAGAACGCAGGCGGUCUUUUAAGUCUGAUGCGAAAGCCUUCGGCUUAACCGGAGUAG
rnacentral:rRNA from 1 species